UGAUGGAGGCUAUAAAUGGACUUCUGGGAAAGGGACCAGACUCCUUGUGAGACCUAUGCAAACACUGGAAUUGGAAAUCUCAUCUGGGGGACUGGGACCAGGCUUCAGAUCCAUGCAAAUAUCAAGGACCCUCAGCCAGCUCUGUACCAACUAACAAGUCCCAAGUCAAGUGACACUUCAGUCUGCCUCCUGACAGACUUUGAUUCUUCUAAUACGUAUACAAAUGGUAACGACUCAACUGUGCUGGAGAUGAUGACGAUGGAAUCUAAGAGCUAUGGAGCAGUGGCUUGGGGUAGUAAAUCAAGCUUCAAUUGCACAAACGCAUUCCCGCAAAACAUCAUCAAUUUGACUCAACCAUCAGGUUCCACAUGCAAAGUCCAGGAUGUAGAGCAAAGUUUUGAAACAGACAAAGAUUUGAACUUGAUGAACGCGUCUCUGAUUUUUCUCCGUGUCAUCUUUUUGAAGACUGUGGGAUUUAACCUGCUCAUGACACUUCGCCUGUGGUCAAACUAAAGUCUGACAAGAAAGUGGACUCCAAACUUCCAGCUCCUUUUUUCUUCAUCUGCCCCUCUCCUUUAGCAUGAAAUGGAAAUAUCUGCCAAGACCCUGAUGAAUGAGUAUACACGUAGAAUCUCUAGGCCAACAGGAGAUACCAUAGACUGGAUACUACCACGUAUUUGGGAUGCCAAAGUGGAAAAAUCUCUCCACAUGCCAACCCAACCCUUUCAGUUCCUUCAUUGCUAUUUUUAACAUCUGUCAUUUAAUGGAGAUGGUAAAGGCAUGACCAGAGACCUUUCUGACCGUGAAGAAAUGCUAUAUCUGCAUCCUCAGCCCUCUUGAGAAACUUCCGGAAGAGUAGAGGAAAGAACAUUGUAGGUUCCUAAAAGUCCCUUAGAAUCUCCAAAACCCUUUAACUCCUUGGAAAAAUUGUCCUCUGACUCCUCCUCCUUUCCUUCUCCACCCCCCCCAUAAGUGAGGAUUAUAAGAAGAUUUUAUGUUUUUUAAUAGAGCUCAUUUAAAAAUCCAUUUAAUUCUUUUUAUUGUUGUAGAAGAGAUUAUAUAAUUGAAUAAGACUAACUUUACCACAUAUCUGAGCUGCACUGUAUUCUGCUACCUAGCCAGGUUGAUAGACUUUAUUAAAGGUGUUUUUGGAAAAAUGAA